CCUACGGGAGGCAGCAGUGGGGAAUAUUGCGCAAUGGGCGAAAGCCUGACGCAGCGACGCCGCGUGAGGGAUGAAGGUCUUCGGAUCGUAAACCUCUGUCAGCAGGGAAGAACGGUCACUGUGCUAAUCAGCAGUGAAUUGACGGUACCUGCAAAGGAAGCACCGGCUAACUCCGUGCCCGCAGCCGCGGUAAUACGGAGGGUGCGAGCGUUAAUCGGAAUUACUGGGCGUAAAGCGCUCGUAGGCGGUAUGUCAAGUCAAGGGUGAAAUCCCCGCGCUCAACGGGGGAACUGCCUUUGAAACUGGCAAACUGGAGUGUGUGAGAGGAUAGUGGAAUGCCAGGUGUAGGAGUGAAAUCCGUAGAUAUCUGGAGGAACAGCAGUGGCGAAGGCGACUAUCUGGCACAUAACUGACGCUGAGGAGCGAAAGCGUGGGUAGCAAACAGGAUUAGAUACCCGAGUAGUC
rnacentral:rRNA from 1 species